CCACCUGGGGAGGUGAUGUCGCUAGACCCCCAACUGGGACUGCUGUGAGGCUGGGGGCUGCAGGAGUGCAGUGUGAGCUUGCAGUGUCUGGAGAUGAUGAGAUGGUCAAGGGAGCGAGUGAGGGAUGGAGGACCAAGCCCCCUGCAGCCCUCCCGGUGGAGAAACCUGGGAGUCCAGGAGGAGCCAGUGAGAAAGACCCAGAUGGAGCAGACUGGGGAAGAGGACCCCAGGGGAUUCUUCUGAAACACACCCCUCUGCGGGCGCGGGUGCCACCUGCAUGCCCGUGGAGACCGACGGGGAGGAGCUGCUCCGGGGCAUCGCUGCGGCUGCCGGGAACCAACACUCUUUGCCUCUGACCCGGGGGUCGCGAUCCCGCAGAUGCACACAUGGGAGACUGUGCUGGGUCACCUUGUUAGCUGCAGAGAGAGCAGUCUCAGACCCUUCACGGUUUCUGACCUAACACACGCAUCUUACACCAAAGAACAAGAUGCCCAUUUUUUCCAUUCAGGCAGAAAACUUAGGUAAACUUUCUACUCCAUAUAUACACACAAAAGACAAAACCCAUCUCACACCACACAUACCUUACUAACCACUAGCCACACAGCCUUACAUAAAACACCGUGACCACACACUGGAUACCAUCUAAUAACACACACACGAAAUAGAUGGACAUCAGGCCACGCACGACAUUACAUACCCACCUCCUUCUCCCCCUUCCUCUCUCUCCCUCCCUCCCCCCCCUCCUCCCUCUCCCCCUCCCUCUCCCCCUCCCUCUCUCUCCCUCCCUCUCUCUCUUUCUCCCCGCCCCAACAAUACGACCUCACAUCUUGCACAUACAAAAAGUUGUCCAUCUUCUUUAUACACACACACACACACACACACACACACACACACACACACAAAAGAAGCCCCUGCUUCUUCAAAGGCUGAAUGGUUCUGGAAAGUGUGGGUGGAUGGGGUCACAGGCUCCCCAGUGCGAAGGGGCAGCGAGUUGGGUCGCGGAUACUUGUUGCCAGGACCUUGGGGUGUAUGUAAGCCCGUGCUGACCUUCCCCAGCUAUGCUGGGGGAAGACAGAGGGGCAGACGUGGGUAGUGGGGAGCCGCCACCCUAAGGGCUUCUCUCGGGGAGAGCCGACUGCACACAGGCCACGGUGGCCAGAGCGCUCCUUUGUUUGAGUAGAUAGGCUCAUGGUCCGGUGCAGGUUUGUCAAGUGUGUUCAGUGGACAGAUUCCCUGCUCGGCCUCCCACACGGAUAAGGCUGAAGUCACGUCAUUUUGAUGCGGUGGAGAAUCCAGAUGCUGAUUUGCUUACUCACCUCCCUGUCAGGUGGUGCUGGGGUGUGUGGCCUUCAGCAGCUGGGGACCGGGGAAGCAGUAAAGGCUUAGACUCUGGGAGGGACGCUGUGCUUCGGGACCAGAAGGUCUGGCCGGCUCCGCCUCAGGGGUGCGCUCUGGAGAAGUGGGCCCCGUCCGAGAACCUGCCAGGCUGGCCGGGGCCUGGAGACGCAGGGGCUACGGAGGGGGGCACAAGGCAGAAAGCGCGCCCACCCCACACAGUCCACUCUCAGCCACAACCGCAUGCCGGCCCCGCCCUGCCCCAGGAUUCGGGUGUGGACAGACUGAUUCCUGCCCCCGAGUAGCUGGUCCUCUCCUGAGGGGAGAAGAUAAAAACCAAGUAAACACCAAACAAAUGGAUGAGGCAGCGCCUCUUGGAAGGCGAGCUUUCUUCUCCAAUAUCAUCCUCAGCAAAGACGUGCUGCCUUUGCUGCAAUCUUGGCAAAGAGACGCCCCUCAGCUGCCUAAUCACGAGCAGGAGGCAGUUUAAGGAGGACACAUCAGCCUGAAAAAGCUUCAGUUAAUGGCAGAGUGGGAUGCUGAUCGGAGCCUAUAUUUGGUUAAGAAAAAAGGAAAAAAAGAAAUUGAAACAGAUUUAGUCAUAAUUGUGUGCGUUGUAUGUUAUUUUAAACAAGCCUUUAAAGAUGAUUUUCAGCAGUAAGAUGCAAGGUGGGUUUUGUGCGGAGAUCACUAAAGGGUAUGUACCUCCAAGCUGUGAUGGUUCCAGAGAUGUGCACGUGGGUUCCAGGUGCAGAAGGACACUUGUGUGGGUGCCGGUACAGCUUGAGUCAAAACCUGAACAGUGUAGAUGCUUACGGUAAAGAUAGUUGUCCAGAAUUUAAACAAAACUCUUUCAUUAAAUGUGAGUAGAAAAAGUCAUUGUUUCCAAAUGAAUGUACUUUCCACAUUAUGUAAGUUUUAAAAGUUAAGCUUCUUAUUUUGAGAUAAUUACAGGUUCAAAUGCAGUUGUAAGAAAUAAUACCAAGAUUCCUUGUACACUUUGCCCAGUUUCCCCCAAAAGUAACAUCUUGCAAAACACAGAUGUACUCUAUCACAGCCAUAACACAGUUGCUGACGUAAUCCAUGAUCUUUUUAAGAUUUCUCGUUUCACUUGCAUUCGCUGUGUGUGUAUGUGUGUGUGUACCUGACACGAGUGUAUCGCGUGUGCGGGUCCGUGUAUCCACGCCACAGUCACGAUACAGACACAGGCCCCUUGACCGCUUUUGCCCACUUUCUAAUUGGACAUGUGUUUUGUUGUUGAGUUUGGAGCGCUCUUUAUAUACUCCGGAUACCAGUCCUUCGUGGAGUACAUGGUUUGCAAAUAUUUUCUCCCAGUCUACGUCUACAAUAACCCUUUGAUAAGAAUUGUUACACCUACAGGUCACUCUGAGAAGACUUGACAUCUUCACUGUGCUGAGUUCUCUGAUCCAUGAAAAUGGUAUCUCUCUCCAUUUUUUUUACGUCUUUAUUGGUUUCUUUCAUUACCGUUGCAUAAUUUUUAGCAUACAAGUCCUGUGUACACUUUGCUGUUUACACCCAAGUAUUUAAAUUUCUUUGACAUGA